GUGCCAGCAGCCGCGGUAAUACGAACCGUACGAACGUUAUUCGGAUUCACUGGGCUUAAAGCGUGCGUAGGCGGCUGGGAAAGUUGGGUGUGAAAUCCCUCGGCUCAACCGAGGAAUUGCGCUCAAAACUACCUGGCUUGAGGGAGAUAGAGGUGAGCGGAACUGAUGGUGGAGCGGUGAAAUGCGUUGAUAUCAUCAGGAACACCUGUGGCGAAAGCAGCUCACUGGGUCUUUUCUGACGCUGAUGCACGAAAGCUAGGGGAGCGAACGGGAUUAGAUACCCCGGUAGUCCUAGCUGUAAACGAUGAGCACUGGGUUGAGGGGACUUCCACAUCCUCUCGGCCGUAGCGAAAGUGUUAAGUGCUCCGCCUGGGGAGUAUGGUCGCAAGGCUGAA
rnacentral:rRNA from 1 species